rnacentral:rRNA from 1 species
CCCUUAGAUGUCCGGGGCCGCACGCGCGCUACACUGAAGGAAUCAGCGUGGCUUUCUCCCUGACCCGAAAGGGUUGGGAAACCCGUUGAAUCUCCUUCGUGAUAGGGAUUGGGGCUUGAAAUUGUUCCCCAUGAACGAGGAAUUCCCAGUAAGCGCGAGUCAUAAGCUCGCGUUGAUUACGUCCCUGCCCUUUGUACGCACCGCCCGUCGCUACUACCGAUUGAACGGUUUAGUGAGGGCCUCGGAUUGGUCUCGGCCCGCUCUUUACCGGGCGGCGCCGUUGGUCGAGAAGACGCUCGAACUUGAUCGUUUAGAGGAAGUAAAAGUCGUAACA